UUAAAUGUCAUUUAUAAUUCUUAUUUUAAUAUGUGUAUUUGUGAUUAAGUUUUAUAACAUGAAUUUUUCAGUUCGAGUAGCAGGGAAGUCGCCUUUGUUGGGAGAACCUGUGCCUCUCGGUUCGAGCGGAGACUUCUAGUCUGGGUUGUGGUACAAGCUUAAAGGUGCCUCCCACAGUUGGGGCCCUCCCCAGGAUACCUCAUGGUCAAAACCAAAAAAAAAAAAUGAAUUUUUCAGGUUAUACCGAUUGGUCGGAGGGUGUAGGUCCCCCAUUUUUUUCACUUAUUGCUGAUGAUGAAAUUAAUGGAAAUAUUGAUCUUCUUGUGGUCCCGCAAUAUGGAAGAAAUCUUUAUCACACUGGUUAAGAAUAUGCAGUAUUAGUCUCUUAUGUUAUGUUUAAGAAAAUAAAAGUAUGGGUAUUGUUAUUACCCGUCAAUUGUAUGAUGGUCUCAGUUUGGUUCAGUUUAAUUUGUAAGAUCUCUUGAUAUAUACAAGAGAUUCUCUUUGUCUAGCUAUUUAUGUGUACCAUGUUAUUCUAAAAGAAAAAUAAAUAAAAAAAUUUAAUAAUAAUGAUGAUGAUGAAAUUAAUGACAAUAAUAAUAAUUAAAAUAAUAAAAUAAAUAAAUUUUAAAUAUAAUAAUGAUAAUAAUAUAAUAUUAUUAUUACAUUAUUAUAAACAAUAAAGGACCUAUUUGCAAAUAAUUCAAGAAAUUUGAGUUUGUUUGAUAAAUUCCAUGGGAACCAAAAAGAAAAAAAUGACAUAACUUACUUGAGAGUAAUUUAGAGAUUAUAAAAGUUUAAUGGGAGUAAAAUGGGUAGUUAUAGAAAUCGAAUUCAGAUUCCAAACCCCUCGCUUUGGAAUCAGAGCUAUGGUAGUGAUUCUCAAAUUUGUGGGUCCGACACUACUUCAGUUCCAAUCCCAAACCUUAAUUUUGCAAGUAAACAUGUCAUUGAUUUUGAUUCUAAAUUUUCCAUUUCGAUUGUUGUACCAUUAGUUGAAAUAUAAUGAGAAGAGCAAGUGAGAAACAAUAGAGAUAAAAUAUUUUUAAUGGGAGUAAUUUGAGAAAUAAAUCGAAUUAAUCAAAAUAGAGUAUGGUGAAAUAAAGAGUGAUAUCAAAAAAGUUUGAGGAGGGGGCACAAAAAUGAUAGAAUGGGGCUGCGCCGUUUCUGUGGCUGUGCUAUGGUCAUUCUUAUUACUAAUAUCCGCUACGCGUUAAGCGGGCUAGCUUGAGGAUAUGUUUUCUCAUAUUAAAUUUGGAUGCAGCGAUUCCGCCAGCUUAUAUCACAGAUUCACAAAAGUCCUCAGCAAAGAAUAGAAAUAGAUAUUGUGAAAAAAACGCAGCAGGGUUAAUACAAGCGCACUGGAUAUUGUUUUGUUAAGUCAAAUAGUAAGCAAAUGCUAUUUCUUAAAAUAAUACCAGUCAAGAUACAGUAGUUGAUACCAUAUUAUUUCUCAUUUGGACCAAAAAAAUUGUGGGACGAGAAAUCCGCUUGUCAUUUAUCAAACAGCGACAAACCAAUGCAUUUUCGGAUGGGUAUUAAUGCUCAUCCUAUAGGAGAGAAACUAGGUGAUUGAAGACCACGCGGAGAAAAAGAAGAAGAAAAAGAUGAUGCAAGUUAAUAAGAUGAAGACUUUUGAGUAAAAAGAAACAAGUAUUAAUCAAUUCAUGAACAAAGAGCUAACAUUGUAACAAGAUCACGAAAGUAAAUUAAAAUUAGUUCCACAUAACACAUAAUUCUCAUGGAAAAAUAUAAGUCUGGCGGUCUUUUUAGCAUCAACUCUCUCUCACUUCUAUUUGAAACUAGGAAAAGGUGUUCCAAGAACAAAUGUUUUUCAUUCGUCCAAUACCCAACAAAAUUUGAGAUUUUGUUAGAAAAGACAAAAUAGUUUAUUUAAGUUUCAAAAGCUCUAUUAAAUAAACAACCAAACAAUAACGAAAAUUAAAAUAAGAGCUGAUGAAAUUAAAUAAAUACUUGACUUGUGAUCAUUAAAUAAAUCGUACCAAACAAGCACAUAAUCUCAAGGAAACCCCUCCCUAAAUUCACGAAAGUUAGUGAAUCCUCCUCGAUGAUCUGCUGUUUCUUCACUCUCCAUUUACCAACCUUGAAAAAGCGAAAACGACAAACAAAAAUGAAAACGAUCUCCAAUUACAUUCAUAUCCCUUGCAUUUUAUACCCAGCACAGCAAUGUUCACAUCCCCAGCAGUAUUAUCCAGCGCAGCAAUGGUCACAUCCUUUGCAAAGAUCACCAUGGCAGCAAUUUAUACGUCCUUCACGGGAAAUUUUAACAAUGAAGCAAUGAUAAAAUCCAGUGCCGCCAAGUCAGAGAUUGCACGGACAAUCACUGGAGAUCUAACUUUCUUAAUUUCCGUUUACGAAUUAAUUUGGUAAUAUAUUAGUAUUUUAGCUGAGGGAGAAAAAAAUAGAAUAUGCUAUGCAGCCUAUUUUAUUAAUGAGAAAAAAAAAAUUGAUUGAUAAAAGAGAUUUGAUGUGUAUUUACACAUAAAAGAUGUCCUUUUGAUUCUUUAUCUUUUUAUUGGGUGCAGUCAGUGACAAAUCAUGAAAUUAUCUGAACUUAGAGGAAGAAAUUUGCUUAAUGAACAACGAUUUCAUAGAAAUAUAAACAGAGUGCAUGCCCUGCUUUUUAGUUUUGGGUAUUUAAAAAGAAAAAAAAAACAAGGAAAAUUUUGGACUUGAUUAAAAAAAAAUAGAGCUUAUAAUUAAUUAAUAAGAAUAGGAUUUGGAUUCCCGACUAGUUUUCCCCCUCCUAAUUUUUCUUUAGCUUUCAAUAAUCUAAUCAUAAAAUUAAUUUCUAGAAAAAAAAAUUGAAAGCUUAAGAUUUCAUUUUAUAUUGUAACCUAAUUAUUAAUAAUUAAAUUCAUUCAAUUUGAUUUUUAAUGAGUUUAUAAAGGGACACAAUUUUAUUUCCAUACCCAACUCUUUCCUUCAACAUCGAUCCUUUCCUUUUUUUGAAUCCCCGAGUUCCAAUCAAGCAGUAAAAAGAUAAAGAGAAAUUAUUUCCUUCUUAAAAACAACGUCUUUAUAAAUUCGUCGAGCAGAAAAAAAAUUAGAAAGCUUAACUAAGACAUUAAUUUAUUUUUAUAAAAUUUAAAUAUGUUUGAAUAUAAAUCGAGAAAAUAACUUAUAUAUUUUUAAUGAUCAAAUUAAUUACAAGUAGGAAAAUGUCAUAAAUACCCUUAAUAGCUCCGAGACUUUAAUAACUUUUAUUAAAAAAUGUAAAAUUUACAAGUAGAGAAAUAGAGAAAAAUUGUAAAUUAAAUCAUAUAACUUGAUAAUUUUUUUUGAAUUUCAAUAAAGUUUAAGAUUGCGGAUCUGAUCAGUAAGGCAUCAAACCAAAAGAAGACACACACCCCGCAAUCACAAAUGACAAAACAAAUCAACUUGUGAUGAGCGUGAAAUUGUUUUUUUUUAAAAAAAAAAAAAUGGUCCUCACAGAAAUCAUAGAAAAUCACGGAUAUGUCAUUCUUAUCCAACUAGAGGCUUUGGGAGAUGCCAGCAGCUUCUCGUUGCAAGUUCUUCUAAUUAUAUCUAUGGCGCUUCAAUUAUGAUUUGUGUGUGUGUGUGUGUGUAUAUUCAAAAAAUCGAAAAACUUAAAAAGGACAGGGCUUAUCCAACUAGAGGCUUUGUAUGGUGAAUAUUGCUCUUCCGCAAACAGAUAUUUAUGGUGACAGAUAUUUAUGGUGACUUCCCUCUAAGGGUAUAGGUGAGAACGCAUGCCCUCAACAUUUAGGAUAUGAGUUCCAAGUCCCCAAGGGGUGGGUAAUGUUACUAGUAUAAGAGAAGAUUUAACCCUAAUAAUUAUGGGAGUUGAUAUUAAAUUAUAAUCCAUCUAUACAUGUAAUAAAUGCAUGUUUGAUAUAACUUAUCUAAUGCUUAAAAAUAUUUAUUUCGUUUUUAAACAGCUUUUCAAAAAUUUUGGUGUUGUUAGAUCGUAUUUUGAGUUGAGUUUUUAGAGACUAAAUAAAUUAUUUUACUUUU
rnacentral:lncRNA from 1 species